rnacentral:rRNA from 1 species
UACGAAGGGGGCGAGCGUUGUUCGGAUUUACUGGGCGUAAAGGGCGCGCAGGCGGCUCAUUUUGUCAGGCGUGAAAGCCCCGGGCUUAACCUGGGAACUGCGUUUGAUACGGAUGGGCUAGAGUUCGGGAGAGGAGAGUGGAAUUCCCAGUGUAGAGGUGAAAUUCGUAGAUAUCUGGAGGAACACCAGUGGCGAAGGCGGCUCACUGGCCCGAUACUGACGCUGAGGCACGAAAGCGUGGGGAGCAAACAGG